rnacentral:rRNA from 1 species
AUUCCAGCUGAUCCUGCUGGCGGAUACUGCUAUUGAAGUCCGAUUAAGCCAUGCAAGUCUAAGAGUCCAGCUAUGGGGGCUCUGGCGUACUGCUCAGUAACACGUAGCUAAUCUACCCUCAAGAAGAGCAAAACCCGGGAAACUGGGCAUAAUGCUCUAUAAGCAGAGGAUACUGGAAUGUUCCUUUGCUUAAAUGAAGUGCACCAUGCAAGCACUUUGCUUGAGGAUGAGGCUGCGGCGGAUUAGGCUGUUGGCGGGGUAACUGCCCACCAAACCUUUGAUCCGUACGGGCCUUGAGAGAGGGAGCCCGGAGAAGGGUACUGAGAUAAGGACCCUAGCCCUACGGGGUGCNNGGGUGCAGCAGGCGCGAAACCUCUGCAAUGCGCGAAAGCGUGACAGGGGGACUUCGAGUGCUAGCUUGCUAGCUUUUGCCAAGCCUAAAAAGCUUGGCGAAUAAGUGCUGGGUAAGAUGCGUGCCAGCCGCCGCGGUAAUACGUACAGCACAAGUGGUAUCCCCUUAUAUUGGGCCUAAAGCGUGUGUAGCCGGUUCUAAUAGUCUUUGGUGAAAUCAAGGGGCUUAACCCAUUGGCUUGCCAAAGAUACUUUAAAACUCGAGGUUGGUAGACGUGAAGGGAAUUUCUGGGGUAGCAGUGAAAUGUUGUGAUCCCAGAAGGACCACCAGUAGCGAAGGCGCUUCACGAGGACAAGCCUGACGGUGAGACACGAAAGCUGAGGGAGCGACCCGGAUUAGAUACCCGGUUAGUCUCAGCCGUAAACGAUGNNUGGAUGCUGCGGUUUAAUUGGAUAAAACGCCAGACAACUCACCAGGGGCGACAGUAGAAUGAUGGACAGUCUAAAGGGCUUUCCUGACACGCUGAGAGGUGUUGUAUGGUCAUCGUCAGCUCGUACUAUGAAGCGUCCUGUCAACUCAGGCAACGGGCGAGACCCAUGCCAUUAGUUGCAAUUCUGUCUUUUGACAGGAGCACUCUAAUGGGACUGCAGUGGCAACACUGAGGAAGGAAUGGUCAACGAUAGAUCUGUAUGGCCCGAAUCUCC